rnacentral:rRNA from 1 species
AGCGAACGCUGGCGGCAGGCCUAACACAUGCAAGUCGAACGAAGUCUUCGGACUUAGUGGCGGACGGGUGAGUAACACGUGGGAACGUACCUUUUGGUUCGGAAUAACGCAGGGAAACUUGCGCUAAUACCGAAUGUGCUCUUCGGAGGAAAGAUUUAUCGCCAUUAGAGCGGCCCGCGUUGGAUUAGGUAGUUGGUGGGGUAAAGGCCCACCAAGCCUACGAUCCAUAGCUGGUCUGAGAGGAUGAUCAGCCACACUGGGACUGAGACACGGCCCAGACUCCUACGGGAGGCAGCAGUGGGGAAUCUUGCGCAAUGGGCGGAAGCCUGACGCAGCCAUGCCGCGUGAAUGAUGAAGGUCUUAGGAUUGUAAAAUUCUUUUACCGGGGACGAUAAUGACGGUACCCGGAGAAAAAGCCCCGGCUAACUUCGUGCCAGCCGCCGCCGUAA